AAAACAUCUCUCUUAGGUGGGUAUUAGGAGUAGGCCCUGCCCGGUGAUUAAGUUUUAACGGCGGCGUUAAGUUUUAAAGUAGCGUGGUAAUUUGUCCCUUAAUUAGGGUCUGGUAUGAAGGGGUUGACGUGGGGAGGCUGUCUCAGGAAAAUUUUGUGAAAUUUUCUUCCAGGUGAAAAGCCCUGGAUUAACUUAAAAGACGAGAAGACCCCGUUGAGCUUGAUUAUUCUUUUAAAACUUAAAAGGGGAAGUUUUGUUGGGGCAACAAAGGAGAAAACAAACCUCCUUUUAUUUUCAUAGAUCCAUUAUUAAUGAUAAAAGGAAAAAGUUACCACGGGGAUAACAGCGCAAGAUCACCUGAAAGGCCUUAUUGAAGGUGGAAAUUGCGACCUCGAUGUUGGAUUAGAGUAACGGUUUUGCGCAGAAGCUUAAUUAGUGGGACUGUUCGUCCUUUAAAUCUCUACAUGAUCUGAG
rnacentral:rRNA from 1 species